UACGUAGGGGGCAAGCGUUAUCCGGAAUUACUGGGUGUAAAGGGAGCGUAGGCGGCAUGGUAAGUUAGAUGUGAAAGCCCGUGGCUCAACCACGGGAUUGCAUUUAAAACUACCAAGCUAGAGUACAGGAGAGGUAAGUGGAAUUCCUAGUGUAGCGGUGAAAUGCGUAGAUAUUAGGAAGAACACCAGUGGCGAAGGCGACUUACUGGACUGAAACUGACGCUGAGGCUCGAAAGCGUGGGGAGCAAACAGGAUUAGAUACCCUGGUAGUCCACGCCGUAAACGAUGAGUGCUAGGUGUUGGGGGGGAACCCUCGGUGCCGCAGCUAACGCAUUAAGCACUCCACCUGGGGAGUACGAUCGCAAGAUUGAA
rnacentral:rRNA from 1 species